rnacentral:snRNA from 1 species
AGCUUUGCACACUGGCAGUAUGAUAGCUAGAGGUUUAAGAAGUGAUUAUUGCUAAUUGAAAACUUUUUUCAAUACCUCACCAUGACGACUUGUAAUAUAGUCAACAUUGGCAAUUUUUUGAUAUUAUCCACAGAG